rnacentral:rRNA from 1 species
ACUUAAAUUGAAGAGUUUGAUCAUGGCUCAGAUUGAACGCUGGCGGCAGGCCUAACACAUGCAAGUCGAGCGGUAGCACAGAGAGCUUGCUCUCGGGUGACGAGCGGCGGACGGGUGAGUAAUGUCUGGGAAACUGCCUGAUGGAGGGGGAUAACUACUGGAAACGGUAGCUAAUACCGCAUAACGUCGCAAGACCAAAGUGGGGGACCUUCGGGCCUCAUGCCAUCAGAUGUGCCCAGAUGGGAUUAGCUAGU